UACAGAGGUCUCAAGCGUUGUUCGGAUUCACUGGGCGUAAAGGGCUCGUAGGUGGCCAACUAAGUCGGACGUGAAAUCCCUCGGCUUAACCGGGGAACUGCGUCUGAUACUGGAUGGCUAGAGGUUGGGAGAGGGAUGCGGAAUUCCAGGUGUAGCGGUGAAAUGCGUAGAUAUCUGGAGGAACACCGGUGGCGAAGGCGGCAUCCUGGACCAAUUCUGACGCUGAGGAGCGAAAGCCAGGGGAGCAAACGGG
rnacentral:rRNA from 1 species